AAUGAACGCUGGCGGCGUGCUUAACACAUGCAAGUCGUGCGCGAAGGUGGCUUCGGCUGCCGGAGAGCGGCGAACGGGUGAGUAACACGUGGGCAAUCUGCCUGGGGGUGUGGGAUAACCUGGGGAAACUCGGGCUAAUACCGCAUACGUUGUCGGGACCUUGGUCCUGCCAAGAAAGCUGGCCUCUGUUUACAAGCUAGCGCUCCCAGAGGAGCCCGCGGCUGAUUAGCUAGUUGGUGAGGUAAUGGCUCACCAAGGCGACGAUCAUUAGCCGGCCUGAGAGGGUGAUCGGCCACACUGGAACUGAGACACGGUCCAGACUCCUACGGGAGGCAGCAGUGGGGAAUAUUGGACAAUGGGCGAAAGCCUGAUCCAGCAACGCCGCGUGGAGGAUGAAGGUCUUCGGGUCGUAAACUCCUGUCAG
rnacentral:rRNA from 1 species